GACGAACGCUGGCGGCGUGCUUAACACAUGCAAGUCGAACGGAAAGGCCCUUCGGGGUACUCGCGUGGCGAACGGGUGAUUAACACGUGGGUGAUCUGCCCUGCACUUUGGGAUAAGCCUGGGAAACUGGGUCUAAUACCUAAUAGGACCGCGCGCUUCUUGGUGUGUGGUGGCAAGCUUUUGCGGUGUGGGAUGGGCCCGCUGCCUAUCAGCUUGUUGGUGGGUUAAUGGCCUACCAAGGCGACGACGGGUAGCCGGCCUGAGAGGGUGACCGGCCACACUGGGACUGAGAUAAGGCCCAGACGCCUACGGGAGGCAGCAGUGGGGAAUAUUGCAGAAUGGGCGCAAGCCAGAUGCAGCGACGCAGCGUGAGGGAUGACGGCCUUCGGGUUGUAAACCUAUUUCACCAGGGAAGAAGCGCAAGUGACGGUACCUGGAGAAGAAGCACCGGCCAACUACGUG
rnacentral:rRNA from 1 species